ACACUCACUCACACACAAUGUGCCAUCCUGACAAGGCUUUUACUUCUGAUAAGCUCCAAUGUGUGUUUAAUGAAUACAAAGCCGCGGUCUGGGUGCCGCCUCGGCCGCGGCCGCUCUCCCGCGCUCCUUUGCCAGAAGCUGGCGGAGAGAAUUUACAUUUAAAGAUUAGCAGAGUGAGAAAGAGAAAUCUGCCUUUUGUUGUGUGGGGUGAGGAGGAGGCAUCUACCCCUGGCCUUGACGCUAUCUCCCAUCACCUCUGCUAUCCAGACAGGACUCACCGAGUAUCAAAUGAUAAGAACUGAGCACACUGGAUGAAAUAAUACUUGCACUGGGAGCACUAAGAAAAGAUUGAUCUCUGGGCUGGUGAACAUAAUCUCUGUCCCAGUCAGAAAAGGAGAGAGGAAAUUAGCAGAGCGAUUGGUGGAGAAUGAUAUCUGUCAAAAGAAACACUUGGAGAGCACUGAGUUUAGUAAUAGGUGACUGCCGGAAAAAAGGGAACUUUGAAUAUUGUCAAGAUAAACCCCACUUGAAAAACUGAGGUGCUUAA
rnacentral:lncRNA from 10 species